CCUACGGGCGGCAGCAGUAGGGAAUAUUGCUCAAUGGGGGAAACCCUGAAGCAGCAACGCCGCGUGGAGGAUGAAGGUUUUCGGAUUGUAAACUCCUUUUGUUAGAGAAGAUAAUGACGGUAUCUAACGAAUAAGCACCGGCUAACUCCGUGCCAGCAGCCGCGGUAAUACGGAGGGUGCAAGCGUUACUCGGAAUCACUGGGCGGAAAGAGCGCGUAGGCGGGAUAGCAAGUCAGAUGUUAAAUCCUAUGGCUUAACCAUAGAACUGCAUUUGAAACUGUUAUUCUAGAGUAUGGGAGAGGUAGGUGGAAUUCUUGGUGUAGGGGUAAAAUCCGUAGAGAUCAAGAGGAAUACUCAUUGCGAAGGCGACCUGCUAGAACAUAACUGACGCUGAUGCGCGAAAGCGUGGGGAGCAAACAGGAUUAGAUACCCCAGUAGUC
rnacentral:rRNA from 1 species